AGGGUUUGAUCAUGGCUCAGGACGAACGCUGGCGGCGCGCCUAACACAUGCAAGUCGAACGAGCGAGAGAGAGCUUGCUUUCUCGAGCGAGUGGCGAACGGGUGAGUAACGCGUGAGGAACCUGCCUCAAAGAGGGGGACAACAGUUGGAAACGACUGCUAAUACCGCAUAAGCCCACGACCCGGCAUCGGGUAGAGGGAAAAGGAGCAAUCCGCUUUGAGAUGGCCUCGCGUCCGAUUAGCUAGUUGGUGAGGUAACGGCCCACCAAGGCGACGAUCGGUAGCCGGACUGAGAGGUUGAACGGCCACAUUGGGACUGAGACACGGCCCAGACUCCUACGGGAGGCAGCAGUGGGGAAUAUUGCACAAUGGGGGAAACCCUGAUGCAGCGACGCCGCGUGGAGGAAGAAGGUCUUCGGAUUGUAAACUCCUGUUGUUGAGGAAGAUAAUGACGGUACUCAACAAGGAAGUGACGGCUAACUACGUGCCAGCAGCCGCGGUAAAACGUAGGUCACAAGCGUUGUCCGGAAUUACUGGGUGUAAAGGGAGCGCAGGCGGGAAGGCAAGUUGGAAGUGAAAUCCAUGGGCUCAACCCAUGAACUGCUUUCAAAACUGUUUUUCUUGAGUAGUGCAGAGGUAGGCGGAAUUCCCGGUGUAGCGGUGGAAUGCGUAGAUAUCGGGAGGAACACCAGUGGCGAAGGCGGCCUACUGGGCACCAACUGACGCUGAGGCUCGAAAGUGUGGGUAGCAAACAGGAUUAGAUACCCUGGUAGUCCACACUGUAAACGAUGAUUACUAGGUGUUGGAGGAUUGACCCCUUCAGUGCCGCAGUUAACACAAUAAGUAAUCCACCUGGGGAGUACGA
rnacentral:rRNA from 1 species